GACGAACGCUGGCGGCGUGCUUAACACAUGCAAGUCGAGCGGUAAGGCCCCUUCGGGGGUCCACGAGCGGCGAACGGGUGAGUAACACGUGAGCAAUCUGCCCAUCACAUCGGGAUAACUCCGGGAAACCGAAGCUAAUACCGAAUACGACCACCUCCGGCAUCGGAUGGUGGUGGAAAGUUCCGGCGGUGAUGGAUGAGCUCGCGGCCUAUCAGCUUGUUGGUGGGGUAACGGCCCACCAAGGCUUCGACGGGUAGCCGGCCUGAGAGGGUGACCGGCCACACUGGGACUGAGACACGGCCCAGACUCCUACGGGAGGCAGCAGUGGGGAAUAUUGGACAAUGGGCGAAAGCCUGAUCCAGCAACGCCGCGUGAGGGAUGACGGCCUUCGGGUUGUAAACCUCUUUCAGCAGGGACGAAGCGCAAGUGACGGUACCUGCAGAAGAAGCACCGGCCAACUACGUG
rnacentral:rRNA from 1 species